UCCCAACUUCGGUUAUAAGAUCCCUCGAAGAUGACGAGGUUAAUAGGUUCGAGGUGGAAGCGUGGUGACACGUGGAGCUGACGAAUACUAAUCGAUCGAAGACUUAAUCAA
rnacentral:rRNA from 1 species